CGACAUGGACGUGCAGGGGGAU
rnacentral:miRNA from 1 species